ACACAUGCAAGUCGAGGGGCAGCGGAGCGGAGUGCUUGCACUCUGCUGCCGGCGACCGGCGCACGGGUGAGUAACACGUAUGCAACCUGCCCCGGAGCGGGGGAUAACCCGGCGAAAGCCGGACUAAUACCGCGUAUAUAUCCAGGAGGCAUCUUCUGGAUAGGAAAGGACUUCGGUCCGCUCCGGGAUGGGCAUGCGGCGCAUUAGGCAGACGGCGGGGUAACGGCCCACCGUACCGACGAUGCGUAGGGGUUCUGAGAGGAAGGCCCCCCACACUGGUACUGAGACACGGACCAGACUCCUACGGGAGGCAGCAGUGAGGAAUAUUGGUCAAUGGGCGAGAGCCUGAACCAGCCAAGCCGCGUGAGGGAAGAAGGCGCUCAGCGUCGUAAACCUCUUUAGCCGGAGGACAAAACCUCCUCGUGAAGGAGGCUUGAGAGUACCCGGAGAAUAAGCAUCGGCUAACUCCGUGCCAGCAGCCGCGGUAAUACGGAGGAUGCGAGCGUUAUCCGGAUUUAUCGGGUUUAAAGGGUGCGCAGGCGGACAUUCAAGUCUGCGGUCAAAUUCCGGGGCUCAACCCCGGCCAGCCGUGGAAACUGAAUGACUUGAGUGGGCGAGAGGUAUGCGGAAUGCGCGGUGUAGCGGUGAAAUGCUUAGAGAUCGCGCAGAACUCCGAUUGCGAAGGCAGCAUACCGGCGCCUUACUGACGCUC
rnacentral:rRNA from 1 species